rnacentral:misc_RNA from 1 species
UCCCCGUUAUCCGAGGCGGUUCCCCUAGGGUGCUUCCCUUGCGGGCGAGCAACUAAGGGUAAGGGUUGCGCUCGUUGCGGGACUUAACCCAACAUCUCACGACACGAGCUGACGACAGCCAUGCAGCACCUAUAUGGAAGUCCCUUGCGGGAAAGCCUCAUCUCUGAGACGGUCAACCACAUUUCGAGUCCAGGUAAGGUUCUUCGCGUUGCGUCGAAUUGAACCACAUGCUCCACCGCUUGUGCGGGCCCCCGUCAAUUCAUUUGAGUUUCAGCCUUGCGACCGUACUCCCCAGGCGGAACACUUAAUGCGUUAGCUUCGGCACGCCCCGAAACCGGGGCACACCCAGUGUUCAAUGUUUAGGGCUAGGACUAC